rnacentral:rRNA from 1 species
AACGAACGCUGGCGGCAUGCCGAACACAUGCAAGUCGAACGAGACCUUCGGGUCUAGUGGCGCACGGGUGCGUAACGCGUGGGAACCUGCCUUUAGGUUCGGAAUAACUCAGAGAAAUUUGAGCUAAUACCGGAUGAUGUCUUCGGACCAAAGAUUUAUCGCCUUUAGAUGGGCCCGCGUUGGAUUAGCUUGUUGGUGAG